UGGGGAAUUUUGGACAAUGGGCGCAAGCCUGAUGCAGCCAUGCCGCGUGUAUGAAGAAGGCCUUCGGGUUGUAAAGUACUUUCAGCGAGGAGGAAGGCGGUAAGGUUAAUAACCUUAUCGAUUGACGUUACUCGCAGAAGAAGCACCGGCUAACUCCGUGCCAGCAGCCGCGGUAAUACGGAGGGUGCAAGCGUUAAUCGGAAUUACUGGGCGUAAAGCGCACGCAGGCGGUCUGUCAAGUCGGAUGUGAAAUCCCCGGGCUCAACCUGGGAACUGCAUUCGAAACUGGCAGGCUAGAGUCUUGUAGAGGGGGGUAGAAUUCCAGGUGUAGCGGUGAAAUGCGUAGAGAUCUGGAGGAAUACCGGUGGCGAAGGCGGCCCCCUGGACAAAGACUGACGCUCAGGUGCGAAAGCGUGGGGAGCAAACA
rnacentral:rRNA from 1 species